rnacentral:tRNA from 1 species
GGCGGCGUGGUGGAAUGGUAGACACCGGCGACUUAAAAUCGCCUUCCCUCUGGAGUGCGGGUUCGAGUCCCGCCGCCGCCA